rnacentral:hammerhead_ribozyme from 2 species
GGUCGAAACUGGGGGGUUCCCCAGUCUGUCAGGGUUCGUCGCCUGGCACUGAUGAGACAGACGAAG